AAAAAAGUUCUAGUCCAUUCGUUACAAAACUUGGCGUUUUCAAAGAAGAAGAAAAAUGGAUAUUGGUAUUUUAAGACAUUCCAAGGUAACGUUUGCAUUUUGAGAGCAUCGUAAACGACGUGACGAAUACUUAAAAAUCGAUUGGACUUUAAUAAAAAUGAACCUACCAGUACAUUUUUCCGGUAGGUUAAAUGUUAAGUAACAAUUAUUGUAUCUGAUGAACCUGUUUUCCAUUCAGAAGCGGAUCCAGAAAUUAAUCUGGGGCCGGAGAGCUUCCAAAAAUUAUCCGAAAAAUGUUCUGUAUUUUUUAAAAUAAAACCCUAUAUUUUGUGCAUUUUUUGAUAUACACAAUUGAUAAUUAUGCUAUUUUUUUACUUGUAGAUUUUGCAAUUUUCUGAAAUAAUACAACUUGCCACAACAUUUUAUUAAGUAAUGAUAAUUUAAUUAUUAAUUUAUUAAUAAAUGUGCAUUAAAAAAGUC